AAUGAUGUGCCUGAUUUAAAAGGGUUAUUUUGAUAGAAUAAUUUAUGCAAUUUAUUGCUUUCAUUU
rnacentral:tRNA from 1 species